rnacentral:rRNA from 1 species
CAGUAGCCGCGGGAAUACGGAGGGUGCAAGCGUUAAUCGGAAUUACUGGGCGUAAAGGGCGCGUAGGCGGUUUGACAAGUCUGAUGUGAAAUCUCUGGGCUCAACCCAGAGUCUGCAUCGGAAACUGUCGAGCUUGAGUAUGGGAGAGGUGAUUGGAAUUUCCGGUGUAGCGGUGAAAUGCGUAGAUAUCGGAAGGAACACCUGUGGCGAAAGCGGCUCACUGGACCAUUACUGACGCUGAGGCGCGAAAGCUAGGGGAGCAAACAGGAUUAGAUACCCCCGUAGUCCCUGUCUCUUAUAC